rnacentral:lncRNA from 1 species
AAUAGUCCCACAUCGGAUAGGAAUAGGGUUGUCAUUGGGUUUAUAAGAGAAUUAGACACUAGUAAUAAUAACUGGGCUUAAGCAUUUUGGGCUGUGGUUGGGCCCAACGAGUUAUUAUUGCUAGUGGGUUGGGUCGUUACAACAACUACGUUUACAAAUUUUCUAACUGAACCGUUGGUUAGGUUGACCCAUAGGAAGACCUAAGGCAUGUAGGCACGCGAGUGCUGGGUUUUGGGAUUGAGUCCCGGUGUGUACGUAUGUCGAGUUGAAUGGUUCGCUUGACGGUGUUUUCUGUUGCAGAUG